rnacentral:lncRNA from 1 species
ACAUAAAGUCAUCUCUUAGUUACUCUUGUCAAUAGGAAAAACCACUGGUGUGUAUAAUUGAAAAAUGGAGCUACUUUGACUAAGGCCGACAGAGAUGAAUGGAGAAGGACAUUGCCUGGCAUCUUCUCACCCAGCUACAUGGUUCCUGCUGCCUUCUGGAUGGAUGAUCAAGUUUGAUUAGAUUGAGUGAUGUCAUGCUUUCAGUGCACUUCCUGUCCAAUGUGAAUACUACAAUAAGAUUUCAACAAGAACAUGGAGCUCAUUCAGCAAUAAUCAUUGAAAUAAUACCUUUGAGAGCCUGUCUGGUAUUCUAGGGACAGUAGAGAGACUGCUGUGGCUGGAGUAGAGGGAAGGCAGCAGAGCAGGAGCAGCAGCAGACAAGGUUAGUGCCCUAAGGGGUCGGUGGGAGCAGAGACAGUAGAGAUGUGGCUCUCCUCC